rnacentral:rRNA from 1 species
CAUGCAAGUCGAACGGUAGCACAGAGAGCUUGCUCUCGGGUGACGAGUGGCGGACNGGUGAGUAAUGUCUGGGAAACUGCCUGAUGGAGGGGGAUAACUACUGGAAACGGUAGCUAAUACCGCAUAACGUCGCAAGACCAAAGAGGGGGACCUUCGGGCCUCUUGCCAUCAGAUGUGCCCAGAUGGGAUUAGCUAGUAGGUGGGGUAACGGCUCACCUAGGCGACGAUCCCUAGCUGGUCUGAGAGGAUGACCAGCCACACUGGAACUGAGACACGGUCCAGACUCCUACGGGAGGCAGCAGUGGGGAAUAUUGCACAAUGGGCGCAAGCCUGAUGCAGCCAUGCCGCGUGUAUGAAGAAGGCCUUCGGGUUGUAAAGUACUUUCAGCGGGGAGGAAGGUGUUGNGGUU